rnacentral:lncRNA from 10 species
UGCCGCCUUGCAGUUUGAUCUCAGACUGCUGUGCCAGCAAUCAGCAAGACUCCAUGGGCGUCGUAGGACCCUCUGAGCCAGGAAGUUGCGCUGUACCUGAGAGCACCGAGAUAUAACAUAAGAAGCCAUCUUGGAAUUAAAGUUGUUAUGUACUGAUUGCUCUGACCUCCUCUCGUAAACAGGCAUUCUACUGGAACGUGUAAGAUAAUUUUUGCCAUCUGUCAUUUUCUUCUUCUUGAGAAAGGAGGAGAAUUACUGAGAAACAAGAAAAUGGUUUCUAGAAGAAAAUUCAGGACCUAGAAACAGUUAAUAUAAGUUGUAUCCUUGGGAAUUUCCAAGCAUACCAAAUGACUACCAGGCAAGAGAAUGUUAAGCUAUACCAGACAAUUUAAUCACCUGCAUCCAGGAUAUGAAAUCCAGAAGUUUCAAUACUAUUAGCAGACUCUGACCAUCAGAAUUUUUUUUUUUUUAUACAACUUACAUUUCUCUCAUGAGAGUUUAAGUCUGCUUCCUUGUCUUAUACUCAGGGAAGAUGAAAGGCAGGUAACAUAUCCUGUAAAAUAAUUAACUGUAAGGUUGUUAAGUUAUUCUCCUGCCUUUGCUAUUGCAGUUUAAGUAAACAGUAAAUUAGUUUAAACUUUUCCUACAUCAUUACUUUAGUUAAUGAAUUCUAUUUCUUAGAGCAGUUUUAGAUUGAUAGAAAAAUUAAACAUAGAAUGCAGACAUUUCCCAUCAUCAAUUUAUUUCUAUUUAACUAAAUGGUUAAAAACUCUUAUUCUUUUGAAAACGUCACUAAGGAAUUUAUGUUGUCAAACAAUAAAGCCAUAUUUACUGAUACUGCAUGUAAGGGUUAUGACAACACAAAAGAUGCUGGGAAAAUGGAUGAGCACCUUCAAAUAAUAGUGCAUAAUGAUGUUGGACUAGCUGACAACAUUAAAGUCUGCAAAGGUAAAGGUUAGAAGAGACCUAAUGGCUUCUUCCUCUUUUUUUUUUUUUUUUUUGGCAACGGAGUCUUGCUCUGUCGCCCAGGC